rnacentral:lncRNA from 1 species
GGUGGUCGGGAGAUGUAUAGAUUCUGUUGCAUCCAAAACUUCAAUGGAUCCGUCGACUAUUACAUGGUCCUACUCUUAUAACAGAAAAGUGGCAGUCUCAGAUAGGAUCACAGAAGUUGGGGUAAAAUUCCCUGUAAACCUUGAAUCUGUGCCUAAGGAUUGGUGGGUUGAAGAUAUAUGUGAACUUGAGAUAGAUCUUUACAAGGUUGCAUCCAAAACUUCAAUGGAUCCAUCGACUAUUACUUGGUCCUACACUUAUAACAGAAAAGUGGCAGUCUCAGAUAGGAUCACAGAAGUGGGGGUAAAAUUCCCUGCAAACCUUGAAUCUGUGCCUAAGGAUUGGUGGGUUGAAGAUAUAUGUGAACUUGAGAUAGAUCUUUACAAGCGAGUUAUGGUCGCGGUUAAAGCUAAGGGAAGAAUGGAUGGCAAUGUUAUUGGCGAGGCACUAAGAACUUAU